UACGGGGGGGGCAAGCGUUGUUCGGAAUUACUGGGCGUAAAGGGCUCGUAGGCGGCCAACUAAGUCCGACGUGAAAUCCCAAGGCUUAACCUUGGAACUGCGUCGGAUACUGGAUGGCUUGAAUUCGGGAGAGGGAUGCAGAAUUCCAGGUGUAGCGGUGAAAUGCGUAGAUAUCGUUUGGAACGCCAAUGGUGAAAACAGCU
rnacentral:rRNA from 1 species